rnacentral:rRNA from 1 species
CGGCAAGGUGUGUCGGUUGUGAAAUCCCUCGACUUAACCCGAGGAACUGCAUCCGAAACUACCUUGCUUGAGUAUAGAAGGGGAGAGCGGAAUUCCUGGUGGAGCGGUGAAAUGCGUAGAUAUCAGGAGGAACAUCUGUGGCGAAGGCGGCUCUCUAGUCUAUUACUGACGCUGAAGCGCGAAAGCCAGGGGAGCGAACGGGAUUAGAUACCCCGGUAGUCCUGGCCGUAAACUUUGGGCACUACGUAGAGGAGGCCGAUGCCUUUUCUGCCGGAGUUAACGUAUUAAGUGCCCCGCCUGGGGAGUAUGGUCUCAAGACUGAAACUCAAAGUAAUUGACGGGGGCUCACACAAGCGGUGGAGCAUGUUGCUCAAUUCGAUGAUACGCGAGGAACCUUACCCAGACUUGACAUGCACGGAUUAGCUCCUUGAAAGGGGAGUGACACUUUUUAGUGGAACGUGCACAGGUGCUGCAUGGUUGUCGUCAGCUCGUGUCGUGAGAUGUCGGGUUAAGUCCCUUAACGAGCGAAACCCCUGUCCUUAGUUGCCAGCGAGUAAUGUCGGGGACUCUAGGGAGACUGCCGGUGUUAAACCGGGGGAAGGUGGGGAUGACGUCAAAUCAGCAUGGCCCUUACGUCUGGGGCCGCAAACGUGCUACAAUGGCCGGUACAGCGGGACGCGAUACCGCAAGGUGGAGCUAAUCUCUAAAAGCCGGCCUCAGUUCAGAUUGAGGGCUGCAAUUCGCCCUCAUGAAUGUUGGAAUCGCUAGUAAUCGGGGAUCAGCCAUGCCCCGGUGAAUUUGUUCCUGAGCCUUGUACACACCGCCCGUCAAGC